GUUGUAAGGUUAAGCGACUAAGCGUACACGGUGGAUGCCCUGGCAGUCAGAGGCGAUGAAGGACGUGCUAAUCUGCGAUAAGCGUCGGUAAGGUGAUAUGAACCGUUAUAACCGGCGAUUUCCGAAUGGGGAAACCCAGUGUGUUUCGACACACUAUCAUUAACUGAAUCCAUAGGUUAAUGAGGCGAACCGGGGGAACUGAAACAUCUAAGUACCCCGAGGAAAAGAAAUCAACCGAGAUUCCCCCAGUAGCGGCGAGCGAACGGGGAGCAGCCCAGAGCCUGAAUCAGUGUGUGUGUUAGUGGAAGCGUCUGGAAAGGCGCGCGAUACAGGGUGACAGCCCCGUACACAAAAAUGCACAUGCUGUGAGCUCGAUGAGUAGGGCGGGACACGUGGUAUCCUGUCUGAAUAUGGGGGGACCAUCCUCCAAGGCUAAAUACUCCUGACUGACCGAUAGUGAACCAGUACCGUGAGGGAAAGGCGAAAAGAACCCCGGCGAGGGGAGUGAAAAAGAACCUGAAACCGUGUACGUACAAGCAGUGGGAGCACGCUUAGGCGUGUGACUGCGUACCUUUUGUAUAAUGGGUCAGCGACUUAUAUUCUGUAGCAAGGUUAACCGAAUAGGGGAGCCGAAGGGAAACCGAGUCUUAACUGGGCGUUAAGUUGCAGGGUAUAGACCCGAAACCCGGUGAUCUAGCCAUGGGCAGGUUGAAGGUUGGGUAACACUAACUGGAGGACCGAACCGACUAAUGUUGAAAAAUUAGCGGAUGACUUGUGGCUGGGGGUGAAAGGCCAAUCAAACCGGGAGAUAGCUGGUUCUCCCCGAAAGCUAUUUAGGUAGCGCCUCGUGAAUUCAUCUCCGGGGGUAGAGCACUGUUUCGGCAAGGGGGUCAUCCCGACUUACCAACCCGAUGCAAACUGCGAAUACCGGAGAAUGUUAUCACGGGAGACACACGGCGGGUGCUAACGUCCGUCGUGAAGAGGGAAACAACCCAGACCGCCAGCUAAGGUCCCAAAGUCAUGGUUAAGUGGGAAACGAUGUGGGAAGGCCCAGACAGCCAGGAUGUUGGCUUAGAAGCAGCCAUCAUUUAAAGAAAGCGUAAUAGCUCACUGGUCGAGUCGGCCUGCGCGGAAGAUGUAACGGGGCUAAACCAUGCACCGAAGCUGCGGCAGCGACGCUUAUGCGUUGUUGGGUAGGGGAGCGUUCUGUAAGCCUGCGAAGGUGUGCUGUGAGGCAUGCUGGAGGUAUCAGAAGUGCGAAUGCUGACAUAAGUAACGAUAAAGCGGGUGAAAAGCCCGCUCGCCGGAAGACCAAGGGUUCCUGUCCAACGUUAAUCGGGGCAGGGUGAGUCGACCCCUAAGGCGAGGCCGAAAGGCGUAGUCGAUGGGAAACAGGUUAAUAUUCCUGUACUUGGUGUUACUGCGAAGGGGGGACGGAGAAGGCUAUGUUGGCCGGGCGACGGUUGUCCCGGUUUAAGCGUGUAGGCUGGUUUUCCAGGCAAAUCCGGAAAAUCAAGGCUGAGGCGUGAUGACGAGGCACUACGGUGCUGAAGCAACAAAUGCCCUGCUUCCAGGAAAAGCCUCUAAGCAUCAGGUAACAUCAAAUCGUACCCCAAACCGACACAGGUGGUCAGGUAGAGAAUACCAAGGCGCUUGAGAGAACUCGGGUGAAGGAACUAGGCAAAAUGGUGCCGUAACUUCGGGAGAAGGCACGCUGAUAUGUAGGUGAGGUCCCUCGCGGAUGGAGCUGAAAUCAGUCGAAGAUACCAGCUGGCUGCAACUGUUUAUUAAAAACACAGCACUGUGCAAACACGAAAGUGGACGUAUACGGUGUGACGCCUGCCCGGUGCCGGAAGGUUAAUUGAUGGGGUUAGCGCAAGCGAAGCUCUUGAUCGAAGCCCCGGUAAACGGCGGCCGUAACUAUAACGGUCCUAAGGUAGCGAAAUUCCUUGUCGGGUAAGUUCCGACCUGCACGAAUGGCGUAAUGAUGGCCAGGCUGUCUCCACCCGAGACUCAGUGAAAUUGAACUCGCUGUGAAGAUGCAGUGUACCCGCGGCAAGACGGAAAGACCCCGUGAACCUUUACUAUAGCUUGACACUGAACAUUGAGCCUUGAUGUGUAGGAUAGGUGGGAGGCUUUGAAGUGUGGACGCCAGUCUGCAUGGAGCCGACCUUGAAAUACCACCCUUUAAUGUUUGAUGUUCUAACGUUGACCCGUAAUCCGGGUUGCGGACAGUGUCUGGUGGGUAGUUUGACUGGGGCGGUCUCCUCCUAAAGAGUAACGGAGGAGCACGAAGGUUGGCUAAUCCUGGUCGGACAUCAGGAGGUUAGUGCAAUGGCAUAAGCCAGCUUGACUGCGAGCGUGACGGCGCGAGCAGGUGCGAAAGCAGGUCAUAGUGAUCCGGUGGUUCUGAAUGGAAGGGCCAUCGCUCAACGGAUAAAAGGUACUCCGGGGAUAACAGGCUGAUACCGCCCAAGAGUUCAUAUCGACGGCGGUGUUUGGCACCUCGAUGUCGGCUCAUCACAUCCUGGGGCUGAAGUAGGUCCCAAGGGUAUGGCUGUUCGCCAUUUAAAGUGGUACGCGAGCUGGGUUUAGAACGUCGUGAGACAGUUCGGUCCCUAUCUGCCGUGGGCGCUGGAGAACUGAGGGGGGCUGCUCCUAGUACGAGAGGACCGGAGUGGACGCAUCACUGGUGUUCGGGUUGUCAUGCCAAUGGCACUGCCCGGUAGCUAAAUGCGGAAGAGAUAAGUGCUGAAAGCAUCUAAGCACGAAACUUGCCCCGAGAUGAGUUCUCCCUGACCCUUUAAGGGUCCUGAAGGAACGUUGAAGACGACGACGUUGAUAGGCCGGGUGUGUAAGCGCAGCGAUGCGUUGAGCUAACCGGUACUAAUGAACCGUGAGGCUUAACCUUACAACGCC
rnacentral:rRNA from 2 species